rnacentral:rRNA from 1 species
GAUGAACGCUGGCGGCGUGCCUAAUACAUGCAAGUCGAACGCGCAGCGAAAGGUGCUUGCACCUUUCAAGCGAGUGGCGAACGGGUGAGUAACACGUGGAUAACCUGCCUCAAGGCUGGGGAUAACAUUUGGAAACAGAUGCUAAUACCGAAUAAAACUUAGUAUCGCAUGAUACAAAGUUAAAAGGCGCUACGGCGUCACCUAGAGAUGGAUCCGCGGUGCAUUAGUUAGUUGGUGGGGUAAAGGCUUACCAAGACGACGAUGCAUAGCCGAGUUGAGAGACUGAUCGGCCACAUUGGGACUGAGACACGGCCCAAACUCCUACGGGAGGCUGCAGUAGGGAAUCUUCCACAAUGGGCGCAAGCCUGAUGGAGCAACGCCGCGUGUGUGAUGAAGGCUUUCGGGUCGUAAAGCACUGUUGUAUGGGAAGAAAUGCUAAAAUAGGGAAUGAUUUUAGUUUGACGGUACCAUACCAGAAAGGGACGGCCAAAUACGUGCCAGCAGCCGCCGUAA